AACGAACGCUGGCGGCGUGCCUAACACAUGCAAGUCGUACGAGAAAUCCCGGGCAACUGGGAGAGUAAAGUGGCGCACGGGUGAGUAACGCGUGGGUAACCUACCCUUGAAUUGGGGAUAACUCCUCGAAAGGGGAGUUAAUACCGAAUAACAUUCCAGUUCUCAUGGGAGUUGGAAUCAAAGGUGGCCUCUGCAUGCAAGCUAUCGUUUAAGGAUGGGCCCGCGUGCCAUUAGCUAGUUGGUAGGGUAAUGGCCUACCAAGGCAACGAUGGUUAGCUGGUCUAAGAGGAUGGCCAGCCACACUGGAACUGAGACACGGUCCAGACUCCUACGGGAGGCAG
rnacentral:rRNA from 1 species